GAGAAACAUCAUUUAGGUCAUUAAGGAUGAUCAGACUUGGAUUGAUGAUCCAGAUUAGAUUUUCAUUAUUUUAUUCUAAAUUUCAAGGCCCUGUAUAAUUCUAACCAACCUGAUAUUCCUGACUUUUUAAGAGAAUUGGAAAAUUGUUGCAUUACUCAAUAUGAAAAUUUAGAUCUUAUGAAGGUACCAUCUAUGGAGGAGAUUAAAGAUUUUGUUUGGAAUCUUCAUUCUUUAAAAAGUCCAGGACCAGAUGGUUUUUCAGGGAUCUUCUUCAGAAGCUACUGGUUUAUAGUUUAGGAUAAAGUGGUGAAGUUUAUUCAGGAGUGUUUCAGUUUUAAAAGAAUCCCUCAAAGUUCCAAUGAGACUUCCAUUGUUCUUAUUCCGAAAAUUAACCAACCUCAAAACUUCAAUCAUUUCCGUCCUAUUAGUUUAUGCAACUUCAUCUACAAGAUCGUUGCUAAGAUUCUUUUAGGAAGACUAAGCAAAGUGAUGGAUAAAAUAGUGUCACCUAAUCAAGGAGCUUUUGUUAAAGGUAGGUGGAUAGCUGAUAAUACAGUGGUGGCCCAAGAGAUCAUACACAAAGUUCAAAACCACAAGGGAAGGAAGGGUCUCAUGAUCAUCAAAAUCGAUCUAAAAAAAGCUUAGGAUCGGUUGGAAUGGAGAUUUCUAAACAAGGCUUUAGAAGUUCGAGGAUUCUCUUCAGAUUUUAGGGUGCUGAUUGGGAGCUGCAUAAGCUUGAUUACAUAUUCUCUUCUCCUCAAUGAAAAUAUUUACGAAUCUUUCUACCUGGAAAGAGGUCUACAACAAGGUGAUCCCUUAUCUUCCUUUCUUUCCAUUUGUUGUUCUGAGUUCCUUUCAAGAUUGUUGCAGAGAGAAGAGGAACAAGGAGGUCUUCAUGGUAUAAAGAUAGCCCAGAUCGCCCCAGCUGUGUCUCAUUUAAUGUAUGCGGAUGAUCUCCUCAUCAUGUGCCGAGCUGAUCCUAAAGAAGCUUCGAUUAUCAAAGAUAGUUUGCAGCAGCUACUGCAAUUGGUUAGGCCAACUAGCAAAUCCAAAAAAGUCGAACAUCCGUUCUCAAAAUCUACCACCAUAAAUUUUAGAAAAGUCAUUAAAGAUAUCUUGGGCUUCAAGGAUAUAGGGUCGAAAGCUAUAUAUUUGGGGAACACUUUUGUUUUCGAAAGAAACAAAACCAAUGAGUUUUUUAAUUUGAAAGAAAGGAUCAAAAAUAGAAUGGAGGGCUAGCGUAAAAAUCUAUUGGCUAAAACCAAAAAGGCUGUGUUGAUCAAAUCUGUUACUCAAGCUAUCCCCAUUUACACUAUGGCCACUUUUUCUCUUCCUCUUGAUCUUGUGAAGAACUCAAUGGGCUAGUUCGAAGGUUCUAUUGGGAAAACAAACCUAAUGACAAUGGAUAUCUUGCUUUAAAAGCUUGGAAAGAUAUCGGUUUUAGGAGGUUCAAAGAUAUGAACUUGGCUAUACUUGCUAAACUUGGUUGGAAACUAGCUAGUGGAGAAGAAUGCCUAUGGAAAAGAAUGAUGAAAGCCAAAUAUCUCCGUAAUGAGACUUUCUUUAGUUACACUCCGAAAAAAGAUGCUUCCUGGGUGUGGAAGGGGAUUGUGAAAUCUAGAUAUAUUUUAAGGAAAUGGGUUUGUUUCCAUAUAGAGGACAGUACCGCCAUUGAUUUGUGGAAGGAUAUGUGGGUUCUUAAUCUUCCCAAUAAGUGCCCUAUAGCGAGAGAAGAGACGGCAAUUCCUUAUUGGAGAAGAGUCUAUGAGUUAUGGGACUUUAGCAACCUUAAUUGGAAAGCUGAUGUAGUUAGACAGCUUUUUGAUGAUGAUUCGGCUGAAGCCAUCUUAAAAUUGGAGUGGCCAGAGGUCUCUUGCUCAAAUAAACUUAUUUGGUUGGAAAGUAAGGAAGGGAAAUUCUCUGUUAAAAGCUACUAUGAGCUUUUGGUUAAGAAUUCCAGCAGUGAAGAAUAAAGCAAUCAGUGGAAAAAACUAUGGAGUCUUAAAAUUCAUGACCCGCUCAAGCUAUUCCUUUGGAGAGUUUUAGCCAAUGUCAUUCCCACUUGCGAGGUGGUGGCCAAUAGAUUAGGCAAAGGUGACAGGUUUUGUGUUUUGUGCGGAGCAUAAGAGAAACCGGCGUUGCAUAUCUUUAAAGAGUGUCAAAACACAAGAAGAAUUGCUUUUGCUAGUAAAUGGGGCUGUAAGCUUGACCGUUGGACUAUUUCGAAUGUUGCCGAUCUUGUGAACCUUUGCAUCAAUCCUGGACCUGAGAUUUGUCCUCCUUUCUUAAAUAGUACAUAGUUGGCCAUCCUUUUGUCUUCGUUGAUGUACUUUGCUUGGAAAUGUAGGAAUGAUAAGAUAUUUUUAGGUGUUAGAUCUUCAUAUGAUGAAGUUUCGCUAUUUAUUCGUAUGGUUGAAGAUUUUUUGGCAGCUUCGAAUUUUUUGAACAUUUCUAAUUCUAAAGCUGUCGAGACUUGGAAGACCCCCCCAAAAGAUUGGCGGAAGAUUAAUACUGAUGCAGCCUUCUACAAUGGUCAAGCAGGUCUCGCUUUUGUGGUCAGGGAUUGGAGAGGAAACCUGCAGUUUCUGGCUUUGAAAUGAAUUUCUUGCUCAUUUCCCUUAGAAGCUGAGCUAAAAGCGGUUCUUUGGGUAGCGAGAGUUGCAGCUGAGCGGAAGUGGAACAAGUUGGAGUGGUUGUAUGACUCGGCCUCUGUGGUUGAGAACAUUACAGGCGUGGAAGGCCCUUCAGGAUGGGAUACCAGAUAUGAUUUCAUUUUCCUCCACUCUUUAUUUGCUAAAUUCAACUGUGUGUUAUGUUGGAACUCAAGGGAUUCUAAUAGAGUUAGCUUUAAAUGAGAGCAUGUUCUUUAAUUUGGAGAGAUCUUGCUAUGAAUCUCUUCUAAGGGAGGUCUGAGUUAUUUUAUUUUCUGAUAUGUUUAGUUCCCGUUUAGGCUUGUGUUAAGCCUCUUUUGGAGGUUUUCUUUUCCUUUUGGCAAUAUAUUUCCUUUUAUCCCCAAAAAAAAAAAAAAAAAAAGCAUGAAAAAUAACAAAGCGAAAUUGAAAUCCAUCAAAACGGCAACACUUAGUACUAAUUCAAAUAGUAUGCGUUUAAACUAAAAUAGCUAGGGGUGUACAGUUUAACUAUUAAACCAUGGUGACCGACCAACCGAACUGUACUGAUCGACGAUUGGCGAUGAUCGUUGUCUGAUUGGUUGGUUAACCAGCACCGAUCAAGAUACUUUGAUCGGUAAUUGUUAUCAAUGCUAAAAAAUUGCCAGCGACUGAAACUGACCAAAUAAUAAAGGACUUUUUAGUAUUUCUCAUCAGUUUACUCAGAUCUCGAUGUAUAUCAACCUCAUCUCCAAAAUACCCCCAAAAUUUCCCAAAUCACAACUUCAAUAGAUCUCUACUCUCUUUCUUAGACAGCACAACUCUAAGAUCUCUUUUCCCUUUCAAUCAUCGGUUCAACUUAAAGAAACUCACAUAUGGAGAGAGGAAGAAUCAAUUAAUUAAAGGAUUGACUAAAUUUGGGCAGUGGGUAUAAAUUUUCAAAGGUACAUAGACUAAAUUUUUCUUUUUAAUUUUGUCUUUAUUUUUUAUGAAAUAUGGAAGAAUGUGAAUUUUGUAUGCUGAGGAAUGUGGAUUUUGUAUUCUGGAAGAAUUGUAUGUUACGUGUUUUUUUUUGUAUGCCGGAAGUGUGGAGAUUGAAGGUUGAAUUGUGAAGAAUAGAAAUUAAAAUUUUGGAAGAAUUGUAUGUUUUGUUUAGUUUUUUAAUUGUAUGUUCUAUUUAACUUGAAGUUUUAUUUUGUUUAUUUUGCA